rnacentral:rRNA from 1 species
UACGAAGGGGGCAAGCGUUGUUCGGAAUUAUUGGGCGUAAAGGGAGCGUAGGCGGUUCGGCAAGUCUUUAGUGAAAUCUCUGGGCUCAACUCAGAGUCGUGCUGGAGAAACUGGCCGGGCUGGAGUAUGGGAGAGGUGGAGUGGAAUUCCCGGUGUAGCGGUGAAAUGCGUAGAUAUCGGGGAGGAACACCUGUGGCGAAAGCGGCUCACUGGACCAUUCUGGACGCUGAUGCUCGAAAGCUAGGGGAGCAAACAGG